rnacentral:rRNA from 1 species
CCUACGGGAGGCAGCAGUGGGGAAUAUUGCACAGUGGGGGAAACCCUGAUGCAGCGACGCCGCGUGAAGGAAGAAGGUCUUCGGAUCGUAAACUUCUAUCAGCAGGGAAGAAGGAAGUGACGGUACCUGACUAAGAAGCCCCGGCUAACUACGUGCCAGCAGCCGCGGUAAUACGUAGGGGGGAACCGUUAUCCGUAAUCACUGGGUGUAAAGGGUGCGUAGGCGGUAGGGCAAGUCAUAUGUGAAAGCGCGGGGCUCAACCCCGGUAUUGCAUUUGAAACUGUCUUACUAGAGUGCAGGAUCGGAAAGCGGAAUUUCUAGUGUAGCGGUGAAAUGCGUAGAUAUUAGGAAGAACACCAGUGGCGAAGGCGGCUUUCUGGACUGUAACUGACGCUGAGGCACGAAAGCGUGGGGAGCGAACAGGAUUAGAUACCCCGGUAGUC